rnacentral:rRNA from 1 species
GACGAACGCUGGCGGCGUGCUUAACACAUGCAAGUCGAACGGAAAGGCCCUGCUUUUGUGGGGUGCUCGAGUGGCGAACGGGUGAGUAACACGUGAGUAACCUGCCCUUGACUUUGGGAUAACUUCAGGAAACUGGGGCUAAUACCGGAUAGGAGCUCCUGCUGCAUGGUGGGGGUUGGAAAGUUUCGGUGGUUGGGGAUGGACUCGCGGCUUAUCAGCUUGUUGGUGGGGUAGUGGCUUACCAAGGCUUUGACGGGUAGCCGGCCUGAGAGGGUGACCGGCCACAUUGGGACUGAGAUACGGCCCAGACUCCUACGGGAGGCAGCAGUGGGGAAUAUUGCGCAAUGGGCGGAAGCCUGAUGCAGCAACGCCGCGUGCGGGAUGACGGCCUUCGGGUUGUAAACCGCUUUCGCCUGUGACGAAGCGUGAGUGACGGUAAUGGGUAAAGAAGCACCGGCUAACUACGUG